rnacentral:rRNA from 1 species
AUGGCUCAGGAUGAACGCUAGCUACAGGCUUAACACAUGCAAGUCGAGGGGAACGACAUCGAAAGCUUGCUUUUGAUGGGCGUCGACCGGCGCACGGGUGAGUAACGCGUAUCCAACCUGCCCACCACUUGGGGAUAACCUUGCGAAAGUAAGACUAAUACCCAAUGAUAUCCCACGAAGGCAUCCGAAUGGGAUUAAAGAUUUAUCGGUGAUGGAUGGGGAUGCGUCUGAUUAGCUUGUUGGCGGGGUAACGGCCCACCAAGGCUACGAUCAGUAGGGGUUCUGAGAGGAAGGUCCCCCACAUUGGAACUGAGACACGGUCCAAACUCCUACGGGAGGCAGCAGUGAGGAAUAUUGGUCAAUGGGCGAGAGCCUGAACCAGCCAAGUAGCGUGCAGGAUGACGGCCCUAUGGGUUGUAAACUGCUUUUAUAAGGGAAUAAAGUGGGUCUCGUGAGACUUUUUUGCAUGUACCUUAUGAAUAAGGACCGGCUAAUUCCGUG